rnacentral:rRNA from 1 species
CUACGGGCUGCAGCAGUGAGGAAUAUUGCACAAUGGGGGGAACCCUGAUGCAGCAACGCCGCGUGGAGGAUGACGCAUUUCGGUGUGUAAACUCCUUUUAUAUGUCAAGAAAAUGACGGUAGCAUAUGAAUAAGCACCGGCUAACUCCGCGCCAGCAGCCGCGGUAAUACGGAGGGUGCAAGCGUUACUCGGAAUCACUGGGCGUAAAGGACGCGUAGGCGGGUUGGAAAGUCAGGUGCGAAAUCCUACAGCUUAACUGUAGAACUGCACUUGAAACUUCUAAUCUAGAGUAUGGGAGGGGGAGAUGGAAUUAGUGGUGUAGGGGUAAAAUCCGUAGAUAUCACUAGGAAUACCUAAAGCGAAGGCGAUCUCCUGGAACAUUACUGACGCUAAGGCGUGAAAGCGUGGGGAGCAAACAGGAUUAGAUACCCGCGUAGUC